CCCUUGUAUUUGCUUAUUAAAUUUUUUUCUAGUCUCACAGAUAAUUGCUUAAUUUUGCGAAGUAUUCUCUUAUUAAGGGAUCAAUACCUAGCUGAAGUGAAUGUUGUCAGCACAUCCAAAACAAUGUUAUACUUGAUCAUGUCAAGUUGAUGUCGAACUUCCAAGGUCCUUGAGCUCUAGUGACCCCGGCUCAAUAAUUCCUUGAUCUCAAGCAAUUUUUCUCAAGGCAUCUAAUAUGGAUGGGUCUUAUUUAAAUGAGGAGUUGACUACCUAUCUAGCUAGUGCUACUCGUUCUAAUCUGCAUAUGGCAAAUGAGUUUGCUUAAUUUGUCUUCCUGUUUGCAUACAAUUCUUAUGGAAGUGGAACAGAGUCUCACAAGGAAUUUGCUGGAAGUAUUGAAAAUUCCCUUGGAGCCAGAAGAUGAAGUAAAAGGUUUUCUUGGAGAACAUUAGAAAUGAUUAAUAAUGUGUCGCAGGUUUGUUGUUACUUUUGACCAGGGAACUAAAAAGUAAGGCUAUACUUUAUUUUUGUGCCCGUAGUAUACUUUUGUUUGGGGUAGGACUGACGUUCAACCCAAAACCAUCAGCCAUGGAGAACUAAAAGCAGCCAUCCAAAGACAAGAUGAGAAGGAAGCUGAUAAUGACGCGGUUUACACCACUGACGAAGACCUUAACAUUGAAUUUGACUAUGAUAUGACAUUCUAAUAGCCUGCAAUUGGGCAAGCUGCAGUUUGUGCAUGCUGUUCACCUGUAUACAGUAGUCAUUUUUUUUCUUUUUCUUAUGAGGAAUUUAACCCUUUUCUGUCUUGUUUUGGUUGUAUGGAACUUUGGAACCAUAUAUGAAAACUGAAAGUGA